UUUCCAAAAGCAAAAACACAACCUAAAAAAAAAAAAUCCCUCCUAGUCAGUUCCAACUUUUAAGCACCGCAUUAUAGAGAACUUUUUUUUUUCACUGAUGUAUUAAAUGCUUGGCCGUGUACAGAGAUUGCGUAUUAAAGUGCUUUUACGAAACGGGUUUUGGGAUUUUUGUGUAUAUUUGGAAAAGCAUCUGAAAGGUGGGUUUUGAUUGGGCAAGUUGAAUAAGGUCCAAGAAUGGUGAUUCUGAGGGAUUUGCUUCUUGAGUUUUUCUGGGUUUUGGAUUUCCGGAGUGGGGUUUUCUGAUAUUUUGUAGUUUUGAUCAAGUAUCAAUUCAGUGCCUCUGAUAGUUUGGAGGAAAUUUUGGAUGAUCUAGAACUGAAUUUGGUGAUUUUCAGGGAUUUUGGGAUGUGGGUUUUUGAUAUUUUUUGGUCUUGAUCAACUAUUAUUUCAGGGCAUGUGAUAUUUUUUGGAGGUUUUUUUUUUGGAUGAUCAAGAACUGAAUUUGGUGAGUUUGAGGGGUUUUGAUUAUUGGGUUUUGCUGGGUUUUGGAUUUUCUGAAGUGGGUUUUUGAUAUUUUGUGGCCUUGAUCAUAAUUCAGUUGAGGGCAAGUGAAAUAUUGGGUUAUUGUAGUUCAAUUUAGGUUAGUGUUGAGGGUUUUCUAUUGGUGGUAGUGAAGAUGGGGAAGACAGCUUGAAGAGGGAGCGGCUUGUUUUUCUUCUUACAUAGACAAUGAUCAAAACAUCGAUAUUGAUGUUGCUUUCCCUUACAUUGUACUAUAUAAUAGAGCUCGUGAUAUUGUCAAGUGGUUAAGAGUAAGACUCCAGAUACACAAGCUACCAAAUUCUUUAGCUUCAUAUGCUAUAGCUGCAUCUCUCGUUCUCUGGGUAUUACGAGGAUUGUUAAAAGAGAAAGUCCAACUCCAAGGAAACAGCAAAGUCAUUGUGAUGAAAUUUCCCAGUUUCCUGCUUGGUAAGUUGACUUGUAAGCCCUUUUCCUCGACUCUUUGGGAAAAAAAAAACUAUAGUUAUUAUUUAAUAGAGCUCAUGAUAUUGCCAAGUGGAUAAGACUUCAGAUACACAAGCUACCAAAUUUUGGAGCUUCAUAUGUUAUAGCUGCAUCUCUCUUGCUCUGGGUACAACAUGGUACAUUCUCUUUGAAUCCCUUAGUUAAUUUUCAAUUAUUCUAUAUGCCUCCAUGCCUAUGAAGCAGGAUUUGAGUUUUAAGUUUUGUGUAUUUGUGUUUUUAAAGUAAAAUUUCAGACAUUUGGGAUGUGCGGCUUGUGCCUCGAUGCCUACUGCUAUUUUUUUAAUAAUUUAAUUAUCAAGAUUUGUGUUAUUAGAUCAUGAUAUUUUAAAAUUUAUGUUCUUGGAUCAUGCUAUGUUAAUAUUUGUGUUCUUAGGCCUACUGAUUUGCUGCUAUUUAAUUAAGUAUUGUUUGAGGUGGAUCUAGAUUCAUAUUUCAACUUCAAAACACACAGAUUCAUGUCUCAUCAAAUUAUCACCUUUGUUUAAUCUUUAAGGGAAGUAAUUAUCAUAAAGCAUUUCAGAAAACCUAAAAUUACACCCCCCCCCCCCCCCCCACCUCUCUGUUUUUUAAAAAAGUCCAUAGGCUGAUUGGAUCGUGAAAUAAUUGAAUUAAGUGUAGUUUAUAUGAUUAUACAAUGAGACCAAGCUCCCAGAUUUAUAAUGCUUCAAAAGACUAUGGAAUUCAAUUGACAAGCUGUCCAUGGAAAAUUCCUUAAGGUGGUAUAAAACAUUUGUUGAUUGAACAAAUGAAGCAUAAUGACCCUUUUUUUUUGAGAAGAUAGGCAUAAUGACCUAAUCGGUCCAAACUCUCAUCUAAUGUCCACAAUUGCUCAAAGAUGCAAAUCAUCAGUUAUGCGAAUGGUCAUAGAACUUGUUUUUUUCCCUUAUAGUGUAAUAUGCUUCAAAUUCUUGAAAUUUGUUUUUUACAUAGUGGUAGAGUACAACCAUUUUGAAAAUCUAAAUUGUGCAUGACCCUUGAUCUCUAAGCAAAGAUUGAUCAAUGGCCCCCAAGUAUAUUCGCUUAGAAACAGAUUAUAGCUUCUUCACAUCUUAUCUUACCAUGUUAUAUGUGUAUAUUGAUAUUCAAAUUUGUAAUCUAAAUGGUUUGGUGGACAAGAUGAAUUCAUGUUUGAAAAUGAAGAUGAAAGUUGAAGAGGAGAUGUCAUUUAUGAAGAAUGGAAGACUAUUAUUAGAGGAGCUAAUUGCCUUUUGCAAUGGGAAAAGCAAUCCUAUCCUUGUCUUAUCUGCAGAGGAGUUCAAACGAGCAACAAACAGCUAUGACAAGCAUCAAUGUAUUCUAUGGGAGUUUAAGUUAUACAAGGAUUCUCUGAAAGAACACUUACUUUCAGUUAAAAAAUACUACACAGAAAAAAAAGAAAAGAAAAAAAAAAGAUUUUCUGUUAUGGAAAACAUUACGCUUGGCAUUAUUAAAGACAUUGUGGUGGGAUCACAAAUGAGUGUCCACCAAAAUGUUCUACGACUCCUAGGAUGCUGCUUAGAGACCAAAUGCAUUGAUCCAACUGAGACAGUCUAUUUUGAGCCCUUAGCAUGGAAAUGCAGGUUAAGGAUCGCAAUGGGCAUAGCCGCAUAGCUAAUGCAGUUGCAAAUCUCCAUACUGCAUUUUCUAGGCCUAUUAUCCAUAGAGAUGUUAGGUCGGCUAUCACUAUAUUAGUUGAGAACAAAGUUGCCAAACUAAUUGAUUUCUCACGCUCAAUAUCUAUUCCUAAAGGUGAACAUGUAGAAGAUGUUGUACGUAGCAGACUGGUGUAUCUUGCACCCGAAUGUGCACUUACAGGCUAUAUAACUGAGAAGGUAGAUGUGUAUAUUUAUGGUGUACUUCUACUUGGGCUUUUAGCUGGAUGGAUGUUGAACACUAUAUAGUGCAGGUAUGGUAACUCCAAUCUACCAAUGUUGGUGAAGCCAUAUGCUGAACAAAAUCGGUUGAUUGAGAUCAUAGAUCCAAUGUUACAAACAGAAGGAAUCAAUCAGGAACAGUUUCUAGCUUUUGCAUAGAUUGCCAAAAGUUGCAUCUCUGAUAAAGCAGAAGAUAGUCCAACAAUCAUUGAUGCGACAAAACAACUCAUGCAAAUUUAUGAGUUUUUCUCACCUCCUUAGCUUAUCUUAGCUCUAUGCAUAGUGAUUAACAUUCAGAAUAUUAUUCUAUGAUCUGUAGCAUUUGAAAGCUCAAACUUGUCAUCAAGGGUGGAGUCACUGAUUAAAUUUCCAUGUCACAAUGAGUCUCUAACAUUCCAAUUGAGUUUUCUUUUCUAAUUUUAUCUUUAUAAAUUCAA